CACCCUGGCCAGCACAGCAGCCCCAAAGAGCACAGCACUGCCCCAUCCCUGGAGAGCAGCCCCAAGAGCAGGGACAGAAUUAAUGGAAUUAAUCCACCUCAGAACCUCCAGGGCUCCACACCCCGACACAGCCACCUGCAGGGUGGUCAGCAGGCUCAGAGCAGCUGCAAGUGGGGCUGACUGGGCCCGUCCUCCCUCCCCAUAAGUCUGGAAUUGUGAAUAUGCUUCUAAAAAAGUUCUUCCCUGUGAUGGUGAUGAGGCCCUGGCACAGGCUGCCCAGAGCAGCUGUGGCUGCCCCAUCCCUGGAAGUGUCCCAGGCCAGGUUGGACAGGGCUUGGAGCAGCCUGGGAUUGUGGAAGGCGUCCCUGCUCAUGGCAGAGGCUGGAAUGGGAUGAUCUUUCAGGUCCCUCCCAACCCAGAGCAUUCCAUGAUGCUGCUGGCCCCAGCACAUCCUGGGCUGGGCAGGACAAGCUGGUUUUAUGUGAAGAACUGGAGCUGCUGCUGCUGCUGCUGAAUGCACAAGCAAUGCCUGGAGAAACACACGUGUGCCCCAUGUGACUGUGAGCACUCUCACAACACAUUUAGCUCUCUUAGAUCCUAAGGAGCUCCACUGCUCUGCUCAAAAAUCCUUUAAAUAAUGGAUGUUUCCCUCUCCCAUGGGCAGUGGAGUAUGUUCCAGUCCCACGGUACCAAGCAUCUCAUAAAUGCCAUCAGCCCCGACAUUCUCCCUGUUGCUAUGCAACCCUGGGCUGCCUCUCCAUAUGAGUUUUCCCUGCCUCUUCCACAGGGAUAUGAUACCCAACCACCAAUUACAUUCCUGAUGCUAAAGCCUGACAGCAUUUCCCUUACGAAACAGGAGUUGUUUUUAGAGGGUGACUGGUCUAAUUCUCCACCUUUCCAUUGCUUCCACAUUGUUGUACAGGACUGAAUCCCAAGCCUCUCUCCCCUGGAAAGUCACAGGAAAAAUUUCAGCACAGCAGAUGUACUACAGGAGCUCCAAGAGAGCUGGAGAGGGAGGGACUUUGGACAAGGACACGGAGGGGAAUGGAUUUGAGCUGGCAUAGGGCAGGUUUAGAUCAGAUAUUAGGAAGAAAUUCUUGCCUGUGAGGGUGGUGAAGCUCUGGCACAGGCUGCAGCACCAAAGAGAGACCCAAAGUCUACCCUGCAUCGAUUCUGGCCACAACAGAGAAUGUGGUCAAAUUAAUGCAGAUGAAGUUGGUUUUGCCAGGGAUCUGGUUACAAUCAUGCAGUGACAUCAGCUCCCUGCUCCUGCAGUGACUCCUGGUGCUGUUACCCUCAUCACUCCCCAGAGGAUUUCAAAGACAUUUGAGAGUUUGUAGUUUUUUCUACCCUGCAAAUCGAGCUGCUCUGCCCCAGGUGGUUCAGGGCAAGGCUGAAGAUGAAGCAAAGGUUGACUCCAAGUGCAAAAAGCAGAUGAGGAUCUAAUUCUAAAUAUAAGCCCUGCUUGGGCUGAGGGAGCCACAGCAGCACUUCCACUGAGAGGUGGGAAUGCACAACACCACAGCACAGCAGAGGAACUAGCUGGGAAUAUCUUUAAAACCCCUCCUAUAUCACUGGAUUAAAUUUCCUUUUCAGCCUCAGGCAGCCAAGCUGAUAAGGAAUGAACCCCUAAGAAAGCCAAGGCAGCAGGAAGGAGCCAGAGGCUCCAUCAGCAAGAUCCUGAGCAGUGCCAGGGAAUCCAGGCUCUCUCCAGGGCACGUGUAACUCCCAUCAGUGUUAAUAAAACCUGGCAGUGAGUGUGGAACAGGAUCCCUCGACUUCAACACUGCAGGAGGCACAAGCCAGAACAAGGCAAUUUCAUACUGGGGUGCCAAGGAGGGAAUAGAUUUGCUUUUUUUGCAAAGCUGCAUGGUUGAAAUCAACACCUCCUACUCGAAAUGCUGCAUUUCACAGCUCUUCUGCACAGUUCACGUCUCUCCACAUGAGACACAAGUUAAACUUCAAACAAAUAUUCCUGGGAAAAAAGUGCUCGUUAACUUAAAGCCUGGAAAUAAAGAUGUACAGAAAGUGAUAGGA